AGAAGCAUGCCACCCUGAGUGCGCGGUGGACCAGAAGGAGCAUCUGAAGGAUGGCGACAGAGUAGCCAUCACGGUGUGCGAAGAACGCUUGAAGGAGCUGCAGCACGAGUUGGAGAAGUGCCCAAAGGCAUGGUGCAGUGUAUAGGAAGGACGGGAACAGUGACUGGGACAGUGCCAAGAGGAGGCGUCACUGUUCGAUUUCAGACCACGUCUUACCGAUUCAACCCAGAAGCCCUGAAAAAGGUCGACAAUUUUUCUCGAGGAGAUACAGUACGAAUUGUCUCCGAUCUCGCCCUUCUCAAAAUCUUCAACACUAAAGUCGGCUGGCGCACUGCAAUGGAAGAGGCAGCGGGGAAGGUUGGCAUUGUCACUCACAUAGACACGGACAGCAAUGUGGUGGUGACCUUCGGCCAGCGCGGAGUUCUCUUUGCUCCUGCCUCGUGCAUGCCCGCUCCAGGAGCCUCCCAAGACACCUUACCGGAAGUUGAACCUGGUCCUGAGUCCAGGAGGAACGCUGCUGUCAAAGAGGAGAAGAAAACACAAGGGCAACAGGAGAUGAAGAAGCUGCUGACUGGCUCUGUCAAGCAGGACAGUGUUCUUGACAGCGUGUCCUCAAUAGUCUUCUCCGACAAAUCCUCUCAUCUACAUGAAGCCAUUAAAGUAGGCGACUGCACCAAAGUGUCUUCAUUAUGUCAAGCUGACCCAACACUCCUGAACCAGGAGCGUCGAGGGCUCACUCCCCUGAUAUAUGCAUGCCACAAAGGUCAGCUGAAGGUGGUGAACCUGCUGCUAGACUGUGGGGCCGAUGUUAAUGGUGUCAGCCGUGAAGGGCGUUCAGCGCUGUCCGUGGCACUAGAAAGCAAAAAUGAAGAAAUUGCCUUACUUCUGCUGGAUCGCGCAGCCGAUCCCAGGUACACCAGUCGUAAAGCGCGGACUGCCUUACACAUGGCUGCCUACAACAAUCUGUCCAAGCAUUUCAGACUCUCAUCAAUAAAGGUGCUGAUGUCAAUGCUAAGGACAUGUCUGGCGACACGCCUCUUCUGGACGCGCUGACCAUGGACAAUCGAGGCAUUGCCGACAUGCUACUGGCUCUAGACUCUGUAGACAUCAACCACGCCAACAACAGGGACAUCACAGCCUUGCACGCCGCGUCAGUUCGUGGAAAUUGCGCUGCUGUCGAGCGGAUUCUGGCACGAGACAAAACAAACGUAAAUAAAAGGAUUAAUGGGGAGAUAAGCCCGCUGCACCUGGCGACCAACGACAACCACGUGGAAGUGAUGCGGCUUCUUGUCAUC
rnacentral:misc_RNA from 1 species